AUUGAGGCAGACAAAACCCUUGUGCUGUAGAGUUUUCUUGACUGUAUGGAUGAUUUUCCGCAUGGAUGGUUUGAAUUUUCUUGUUGAUUUUAGUAGCUUCAUGGGAAAUAAUAAGUGGGUUCGUUUGCCUCAGUGUUGGGUCUGCUAUUUGGUUUGACAUUGUAAAUUCCUCACCUAGUAGGGGGAAAUUUAACUGGGCAUGUUCUAGGGAUGAUGAGGUUUGCUGGUGUCCAUACCCUUUUCUUAGGUCUCCGAGUAUGGAUUCGAUUGCGUGUUGACAUGUUACCUGGUUUAGUUUGGGCGGAGACACACAAAACUAAAACACAAUCUAUUCAUCACUCGAUCGAAGGCGCUAUUAGCAGAGGACAGCGCUCAAAACCAAAAGAUUGAGGCAUGUUUUAGUCAGACAAGGACGAUGGUGACGGUCCUGUGACUGCGUUUUAAUGCCUAAAUGAACGCCAAUUUCUCAAAGUGCGGUGAUGCAACACGUGCUGCAUUACAUCUUUGAGUUAUGACUGCAUUUGUUACUCCAUGUCAAAUAGAGUCUUCAUCACAUAUGGCAGGAUGACAGUCUUUUACUGGUGCCUCAUGCAUCUAGCAUAUUUCAAGUGUAUAUGCUCUUGAAAAGCAUUGAGUGAUCCUACACAUUCAAACUCACAAUCUGUAGAAGCCUACCCUGAUCAAAGACAUUACUACACAAGCACAUCCUCCAUGGUUAUUGUUGAAUUAUAUACCUGGGCACAGCAAUCCAAACCAUAGUUAACCUCGGUGUCAACAUGUGAGCAUUCUUGGAGGAGGUCUAACUAUUGACCGCUAGUUAUGGCGUGAUGCUGUCACUUCAUUUAUUCUGCACAUGCCUUAUUCUUUUUGUCAUAGUUAAAAUGCAGAGUUCAAAUCAGGCAGAGAGUCCUCCAUCCAGAAGUCGUCCUAGUUAGUUCUUUGUAACAUGCUUCCAUGGUGAAAGGGUUUGAUUCUUCUCCUGAUGCUUAUGCUAUUAUCAAUCAGCUAUAAUGAGUACAGUGGUGUCAUUUUGGAUUUUGCAGUAAGCCCUCAUAUGUUACUGCAUGGUGGCGAUGCAGGAAUCUGAUGGUUGAAACGAUUUAGAAACUUUGGAAUGGUUUUGUUGCAUAAUUCGGGAAUUCCCUUUGGUUUAUGCUGAUUAAGAUUUUCUCUUUCCAAACUUACUAACAUAUUCUCCAUCUGAAGAAUUGUCUGGUUGUGACAAGCAAUCUUUUGAUCACAGUGCGGGGAAUUUGCUUUCUCAAGCUAAUGAAGAUGGUCAAAAGGACUUUAAGCGCAGAGUUGAGUAGACAUCCCAAGUGGUAUGAGACAGCUUGCAGGACAAACUAAGAAGCUGUAGUUGCUGCAUUCAAACACUCAAGAGACGGGGCUUUGAUUCAGCAGUUGUGAGGAGCAGGAGCACAUGCGACUCUUCAAAAGCAGAAGAACGGUGGUGAUUUCAAGAGGUGGUGCCGCAGGCGCUAGUUCACCUCAACUUGCUAUCACCGUAAGUGCAACGUGCUUCACCAUUUUGGCACAUCUGUAUGCAUAUCUUAGUAUCGACUUUAUUCUUUCGCACAGUCCUACAUCAGUGAUGAAGAUACGCAUGAGAUGCUUGACUUGCA